CUAGGAAAUUAAGGGCACUGCAGAACUGUGAAGUGCUUAGAUUCACAACAGGUAACUCCAAGUCUCUUGUCUGAAGUAAUCCACUUCUCUGAAAAGCCAAGGGCAAUAACAACUCCCCCUCCAGCUGCACACCCCAACCUUUUCAUCCCAAACGUCUCUUAUUGUGGAGUGUUUUAUUUCAUGCACAUCACGAACUGCAUUAGUGACCAUAGGAUCAUGGUGGUGAUGUCAACUUCAGCAAGGAAACGAAGUAAAU